rnacentral:lncRNA from 1 species
AACAAUUGCCAAGAGUGGGGAAAGGCCCGAGGUAGGCCUCUCUCAGGAGCCUCCCACCCUAGAGACCUCCACCCCAGGUCUCACCAAAAGUGGGUGGAAUGGUGAAGAAUUCAGAUCCCCAACGCCACUCUUUCGCGCCCCCACCGCCCAACGCAUUCGUUCUGAGGUGGAAACCCCGUGCGGAUCCUGCUGUGGGUUUGCUCAGCCUUCUCGGCAAGCACUCAGGGAAGAACUUCCUGUUUGGAGAUGACUGGGGAAAAAACUGCACAGCUGACAUUGGAAAUAAACCCGAGUUCCAGGUUCAAGGAGCCCCAGGCUUAGCUCAGCUCAAGUGAGGAACUACGAGAUUUAUUUAAAAGCAUUCUAGUUGGGGGAAGGGAGUGGGCGGUUCCAAAAGUCACUCCGCAGAGCCGGGACAGCCGGGGGAGGGGGCAGGUCCUGGGGCGAGGGACCCCUAUCUGCAGUUCAGUGGUAGGCACUCCCUCACGGGGUCUGGACGCAGAAAGUAGGGAGAGGGGCUUGCGGAUAGGGUUGAGCAGGUCCUCCAAAGUUAGCAAACUCCCAAGCGCAAAGAAAAAGCUAGUUUCGAUUUUUCCACCCCCGCCGCGCCCCUAGUUCGCCCGCAGCCCUCGGACUCACGCAGCAAGCGCCCCUGCAGGACCGCGGUCUGCAAAAGCAUCAGGAGGAGAAGCGCCGGCCUGGCUCGCGGGCCCAUUUCCCCAGCUCUGGCCGCACGUCCCCGUUAAAUCUCCGCUUCUUUUGGGGGGCGGGGAAACGGGGAUGGCUCCAGAAGUCACCCUACAGCUAUUGCCUAGGCUCAGGAGAUGCCCAGUAAAACUUCCUGGUGAAAAGCAACAGGUCUUUCAGAACUUUAGUUCUCUCUCUCCUACAGCAGAAGGUACCUGCUUGUGAAACACUAGGUGAUCCAGUGUCCCCCUUGGUUUUUAAAUCCUGAAGGGGUGUUGUUGAUUGGGGAAAGUAGCUUCGCAAUGUUCUGAUCUGAACUUUAGAUAUUUAAAUAUUUAUGAUUUUCAAAAUUCAAUCAUACAUUUAAAAAUUUUAUCUCAACCUUAGACCAACUUAUGUCUUAUUUGACUUAGAAAUAUAAAGCUUUUUCAUUUUGUUUUUUGAUUCAAAUUAAUUAAGUCAUAACAUUAACCAAUUAGAUCCUACUGAAACACCUUCCACAGCCUUCAUAAUUGAAUUAUCUGACAAGUGUUUCACAAACUUUACAGUAUUGGGAUUAUCUGGAGAAUGAUUAAACAUAUUGAGGCCUGCUCCUAACCCCAGACACACUGAUUUAAUGGGUAAUUGUUAGGUAGUUAGACAUUAGCAGUUGGGAGGGGAUGACAGAAGAGAGCGGAAAGGCUGUCACUAAGACAGCCACUGGCCCACCUAAAUUCAGGCCCAAGACUACCCUAAUGCCACCCUAAGGGAUGGAGUUUAUGAUAAAGUCUGUGGCCAAAAUAUCCUGGAGAAAGAGAAAGGAGGGUACAGGUGGAAAUUCCCUAAGGUGGCACAUGCCCAACAACACAAAAGCCUGUCUUCAAGUUCACCCCAAGUUCAUCAUGCCAUCAUUAUAAUAGAAUUUACAUACAGUUUUGCCCCCCCAUCCCUGGGAGGCUUUUCUUAACAAAUUAUAGGUAAGACCAUGCACAGUUUAAUUUUAGAUUGUAUAGCUAUACACUUCAAUCAAAUAACAUCAUCCUGUCACUCAGAUACAGCCCAAACCUCAACUCCUCCCCACAAACCCCAUAAAAGCACCUUGAGCUCUGUAAAGAAGUGCUGAGUUCACUUCGCAGAAAUAAGCCCGCUGUCCCUCAGAGUGUAUUAUUGUGCUUCAAUAAACUUUGCUUUAAGCUUGC